rnacentral:rRNA from 1 species
AGGACGAACGCUGGCGGCGUGCUUAACACAUGCAAGUCGAACGAGGUGCUUGCACCUAGUGGCGAACGGGUGAGUAACACGUGAGCAACCUGCCCUUAGCUCUGGGAUAGCCUCCGGAAACGGGGAUUAAUACCGGACAUGACCUGCUCCCGCAUGGGGGGCGGGUGGAAAGUUUUUCGGCCAGGGAUGGGCUCGCGGCCUAUCAGCUUGUUGGGGGGGUAACGGCCCACCAAGGCGACGACGGGUAG